CCCAAAGGACUUGGCGGUGCCUCAUACCCACCUAGAGGAGCCUGUUCUAGAAUCGAUAAUCCCCGUUCAACCUCACCACCCCUUGUUUGACCCGCCUAUAUACCGCCGUCGUCAGCUCACCCUGUGAAGGUGUUGAAGUGAGCAAAAUGGGUACAACCCAAAACGUCAGGUCAAGGUGCAGCGUAUGAGGUGGGAAGAAAUGGGCUACAUUACCUACCACAGGUUAUUACGGAGGGGGCUGUGAAACCGGCCCCUAAAGGUGGAUUUAGCAGUAAGGGGUAAAUAGAGAGUUCUCCUGAAGCCGGCUCUGAGGCGCGUACACACCGC
rnacentral:rRNA from 1 species